rnacentral:tRNA from 1 species
GCUGCGGUGGUGGAACAGGCAUACACACUGCGUUGAGAGCGCAGGCCCACCUCAGGGCGUGAGGGUUCGACUCCCUCCCGCAGCA